rnacentral:misc_RNA from 1 species
CGCACAUUGCGCCCCUUGGUAUUCCGAGGGGCAUGCCCGUUCGAGCGUCAUGUCUAAUCAAUCAAGCCUGGCUUGGUGUUGGGCGACGGGGGAGACCCGCGCCUCGAUGUCUGUCGGCCGGACGACCCGGACCCGCGUUGUGGAAAACUUCGUCGCGGGGGACCCGGGGGCGAACGCGCCGGAAAACACACAUGGUUGACCUCGGAUCGGGCAGGGAUACCCGCUGAACUUAA